rnacentral:rRNA from 1 species
UCAAGCUAAUAAGAGCGCAGGGUGGAUGCCUUGGCACUAAGAGCCGAUGAAAGACGUGAUAAGCUGCGAAAAGCUUCGGGGAGGAGCAAAUAUCCUUUGAUCCGGAGAUAUCUGAAUGGGGAAACCCGGCUGAGAAGACCUCAGUCACUGUAUGGUAAAUCCAUAGCCAUACAGAGGGAACCCGGUGAACUGAAACAUCUAAGUAGCCGGAGGAAGAGAAAGAAACAUCGAUUCCGGAAGUAGCGGCGAGCGAACCCGGAAGAGCCCAAACCAGCGUGCGUGCAUGCUGGGGUUAAGGACUGCAUAAGUGAGCCGAUCUGUUAAUGGAACUGCCUGGGAAGGCAGGCCAGAGAGGGUGAAAGCCCCGUACAUGAAAACGGUAGGCAGCGGCAGGAUCCAGAGUACCGCGAGACACGAGAAACCUUGCGGGAAGUCGGAGGGACCACCCUCCAAGGCUAAAUACUCCUUAGUGACCGAUAGCGCAUAGUACUGUGAAGGAAAGGUGAAAAGGACCCCGGGAGGGGAGUGAAAGAGAACCUGAAACCCUGUGUUUACAAGCUGUGGAAGUUCUUUAAAUGAACAACCGCGUACUUUUUGUAGAACGGUCCGGCGAGUUGCGGAUACUGGCAAGGUUAAGCACUUAAGGUGCGGAGCCGAAGGGAUACCAAGUCUUAACAGGGCGUUAAGUCAGUAUACGCAGACCCGAAACCGGGUGAUCUAUCCAUGUCCAGGUUGAAGUUGUCGUAAAAGACAAUGGAGGACCGAAGCCACAUCCGUUGAAAAGGGUGGGCAUGAGGUGUGGAUAGGGGAGAAAUUCCAAUCGAACCCGGAGAUAGCUGGUUCUCCUCGAAAUAGCUUUAGGGCUAGCCCCGUAUUAGUUUAGCGGAGGUAGAGCACUGAAUUCCUAAGGGGGCGUCAAAGCUUACCAAGGGAUAUCAAACUCCGAAUGCCGCAUAAAUGAUGUACGGGAGUCAGACUGCACGAGAUAAGUUGGGCAGUCAAAAGGGAAAGAGCCCAGACCUACAGCUAAGGUCCCAAAGUGUGUGUUAAGUGGAAAAGGAUGUGGGAUUUCAGAGACAACUAGGAUGUUGGCUUAGAAGCAGCCACACAUUCAAAGAGUGCGUAAUAGCUCACUAGUCGAGAGGUCCUGCGCCGAAAAUGUCCGGGGCUGAAACACAACACCGAAGCUUAGGAAUGUAGUAAUACAUUGGUAGAGGAGCAUUCUUAAAGGAAUGAAGCAGUACCGGUAAGGAGCUGUGGACUUUUAAGAAGAGAGAAUGCCGGAAUGAGUAGCGAGAUGGAGGUGGGAAUCCUCCAGGCCGAAUAUCCAAGGUUUCCAGAGUAAAGCUGAUCUGCUCUGGGUAAGUCGGGGCCUAAGGUAAGGCUGAGAAGCGUAGCCGAUGGACAACAGGUUGAGAUUCCUGUACCGCGUAUCAUCAGAACUGUGGGGACACAGAAGGACAGCACAUCCCGGGAAUGGAAAGACCGGGGCAAGCAGGGUAGGAGUUAAGCUGGCAAAUCCGCUUAACAAUCCGAAGCUGUGAUGCGGAGCGAAUUUAAGUAGCGAAGUGUGCGAUUCCGGCUGUCAAGAAAAGCCGCUAUUGUGUGAUACGUGCCCGUACCGUAAACCGACACAGGUAGAUGAGGAGAGAAUCCUAAGGCCGGCGGGAGAAGCAUUGUUAAGGAACUCGGCAAAAUGACCCUGUAACUUCGGGAGAAAGGGUGCCUGGGAAACCAGGCCGCAGAGAAUAGGCUCAAGCAACUGUUUAGCAAAAACACAGGUCUAUGCAAAACCGUAAGGUGAGGUAUAUGGGCUGACGCCUGCCCGGUGCUGGAAGGUUAAGAGGAGGGGUUAGAGCAAUCGAAGCUUUGAAUUGAAGCCCCAGUAAACGGCGGCCGUAACUAUAACGGUCCUAAGGUAGCGAAAUUCCUUGUCGGGUAAGUUCCGACCCGC